rnacentral:lncRNA from 1 species
AAUUUCUACAUGGUAUCAGAGCCAAAGCCGGUGAUCUAACUCAUGCUCUACUAGCUGGAAAUCUCCUCUAUCAUCUUCAAGAAUCAAGAGAGGCUUACCCAAUAGUUCAUGUUUUCUCCAUUGAUUCCUCUGGAGAUUUAUCUGCCAGCAAUAGAAGAAGACAGCAUGAUGAAUCCUGGAUCAGCCAGCACUACAAGAUCCGGCAAAGUCACCGGCAGCUCAGAAAAUUUGGGAAUAUCUCCCAAUCUCAAGUUCUUAAUGACCAGGCUGCACUCUUUGGUUCCCACACAGCUCUAUUCAACAAAUUAUCUUACCUAGCGAUCUCAAA